rnacentral:tRNA from 3 species
AGCGGGGUAGAGUAAUUGGUCAACUCAUCAGGCUCAUGACCUGAAGACUGCAGGUUCGAAUCCUGUCCCCGCCU